AUACGAAGGUCCCAAGCGUUGUUCGGAUUUACUGGGCGUAAAGCGAGCGUAGGCGGCAAGGUAAGUCAGAUGUGAAAUCCCGGGGCUCAACCCCGGAACUGCAUCCGAUACUGCCUUGCUAGAGUAAUGGAGGGGCAUCUGGAAUUCAUGGUGUAGCAGUGAAAUGCGUAGAUAUCAUGAGGAGCACUAGUGGCGAAGGCGAGAUGCUGGACAUUUACUGACGCUGAGGUACGAAGGCCAGGGUAGCGAAAAGGAUUAGAAACCCCAGUAGUCC
rnacentral:rRNA from 1 species